rnacentral:rRNA from 1 species
UACGUAGGGGUGCAAGCGUUAAUCGGAAUUACUGGGCGUAAAGCGUGCGCAGGCGGUUUUGUAAGUCUGUCGUGAAAUCCCCCGGGCUCAACCUGGGAAUUGCGAUGGAGACUGCAAGGCUAGAAUCUGGCAGAGGGGGGUAGAAUUCCACGUGUAGCAGUGAAAUGCGUAGAGAUGUGGAGGAACACCGAUGGCGAAGGGCAGCCCCCUGGGUCAAGAUUGA